rnacentral:rRNA from 1 species
UACGUAGGUGGCUAGCGUUGUCCGGAUUUACUGGGCGUAAAGAGCGCGCAGGCGGUCGUUCAAGUCGAGUGUGAAAGCCCCCGGCUCAACUGGGGAGGGUCACUCGAUACUGAUCGACUCGAAGGCAGGAGAGGGAAGCGGAAUUCCCGGUGUAGUGGUGAAAUGCGUAGAUAUCGGGAGGAACACCAGUGGCGAAGGCGCUUUCUGGCCUGCUCUUGACGCUGAGGCGCGAAAGCGUGGGGAGCGAACAGG